rnacentral:rRNA from 1 species
AACGAACGCUGGCGGCAUGCCUAACACAUGCAAGUCGAACGAGACCUUCGUGUCUAGUUGCUCACGGGUGCGUAACGCGUGGGAACCUUCCCUUAGGUUCGGGAUAACUCCCCGAAGGGGGUGCUAAUACCGGGUAAUGUCUUCUAACCAAACAUUUAUCGCCUGUGGAUGGGCCCGCGUUGUAUUAGCUAGUUGGUAGGGUAAAAGCCUACCAAGGCGUCGAUCCUUAGCUGGGCUGAGAGGAUGAGUAGCCACACUGGGACUGAGACGCGGCACAGAAUACUAGGGGAGGCAGGAGUGGGGAAUAUUGCAAAACGGGGGAAAGCAUGAACGAGCAAUGCUGGGUGAGUGAUGAAGGCGUUAGGGUUGUAAAGCUCUUUUACACGGGAUGAUACUGACAGUACCGGGAGAAUAAGCUCCGGCUAACUCCGUG